rnacentral:misc_RNA from 1 species
GAAAUGCGAUAAGUAGUGUGAAUUGCAGAAUUCAGUGAAUCAUCGAAUCUUUGAACGCACAUUGCGCCCCUUGGUAUUCCAUGGGGCAUGCCUGUUCGAGCGUCAUUUGUACCUUCAAGCUCUGCUUGGUGUUGGGUGUUUGUCUCGCCUCUGCGCGUAGACUCGCCUUAAAACAAUUGGCAGCCGGCGUAUUGAUUUCGGAGCGCAGUACAUCUCGCGCUUUGCACUCAUAACGACGGCAUCCAAAAGUACAUCUUAACGCUUGACCUCGGAUCAGGUAGGGAUACCCGCUGAACUUAA